rnacentral:rRNA from 1 species
AUUGAACGCUGGCGGCAUGCCUUACACAUGCAAGUCGAACGGUAACGGGCCUUCGGGUUCCGACGAGUGGCGGACGGGUGCGUAAUACAUCGGAACGUGCCCGAACGUGGGGGAUAACGAGGCGAAAGCUUUGCUAAUACCGCAUACGAUCUACGGAUGAAAGCGGGGGACCGCAGGGCCUUGCGCGGCCGGAGCGGCCGAUGGCAGAUUAGGUAGUUGGUGGGAUAAAAGCCUACCAAGCCGACGAUCUGUAGCUGGUCUGAGAGGAUGAUCAGCCACACUGGGACUGAGACACGGCCCAGACUCCUACGGGAGGCAGCAGUGGGGAAUUUUGGACAAUGGGCGCAAGCCUGAUCCAGCCAUGCCGCGUGCAGGAUGAAGGCCUUCGGGUUGUAAACUGCUUUUGUACGGAACGAAAAGCAUUCUUUUAAUACAGGAGGGUCAUGACGGUACCGUAAGAAUAAGCACCGGCUAACUACGUG